GCGGAGGAGGGGCGCCAGGGCGGCGCGGGCCCGGGGCCACCUGCUGGCCGAGCCGCUGCUCCCCGGGGCGCCGCUUCCGCCUGGCCGAGCGCGGCGCCCCGAGGAGGCGGGAGGCCGCGGCGCAGCGCCCUGGGCCGGGCCCGCCGCGGGGCCUGGGCUCGCGGACCCUUGGUCGCCGCCCGCCCCGGAGCUGGAGCCGCCGCGGCCGCGGCUGCGGGCCGGGAACUUACCCUUUGCCGUCUGCGAGGCCGGCGGAGGUGGAGCGCGGGCUCGGUUCCGGCGGACUCGGUCCGAGGGGAGUUGGGGUGCGGGGGCUGUGCCCCAGGUCGAACGCCGGUGCUCGACGGACGCGGGGCGGGGGCGGGUUUGUGUCCCGCGCCUCCUGGGGGCAGCGCCGACCGCGGGCGCCCCGGAGCGGAACGGAAAGGAAUUCGGCCCGGGGAGAGCGUGCUGAACGCGGCGACACGCCGGACCGAAAGCCCCGGCGGGCGUGCGGAGGGCACGGACGGCCCGGCCCUACGGCCCCCGGCUCGGGGAGACCGGCCACUCCGCGUGGCCCUCACCCCGGAAGCAAAACUGGACCAGGAUAUUACAUAUACAGUUAAUAAUCCAGACCCUAAGUGGACAGCUCAAUUGAUUCCUGUUAUUUGCAUCCAUUCACUGCCCACCCACGUGGACCCACGUGUAAAACUUUUCCCAGCUCACCAGCAGGCUCCCACAGUAGAUGAGAACCCUUGAGCUCUCCCCCACUGGCUCCAGGAAACCACAGUUCUGACUUCUGUCACCAUAGCUUUGCUGUUUACCUGGUGUUGAACUUCGUAUAAAUGGAAUCAUUUCUAGGGGUGAGCAGAAUAAAUGCCUCUGUUUAAUCUGCCAUGAAAACUGGAAACUUCUCUCCGCCUUCCUAAACAGUAGUGUGAUAUGGGGAGGAAGAGAGUGAAAGAGAGGUAUCGCACCUGCAGAGGAAAUUAUCAGUUGGAGAGAGGGGACAAGAUGCUUCCCCCUAAGAUCAGGAACAGGACAAGGCCAUCUGCUCUCACCACUCCUAUGCAACGUUAUCUUGAAAGUCUGAGGUACUGCAAAGACAACACAAUGAAAUAAAAGGUAUGCAGGUUGGGAAGUAAGAAAUAAAACUGUCUUUACUGGCAUCUGACGUGAUUGUCUAUGUAGAAAUUCCAAAAAAAUCAAUAGAAUGAAUACUUGAUCGUAGUAAGGACACAAUAUGAGGUUAAUAUAAAAAAGUCAAUCGCAAUUUUAUAUACCAACAAUGAAGAAGGAAUUUGGAACACACAAAAACAUUUACAUUGGCACUUCAAAGGAAAGAGGUUAGGUAUAAAUCUAACAAAAUGUGAAUAAGCUCUAUAAUAGGAAAACUACAAAGCUCUGAUGAAAGAAGAUAUAAAUGAAGAGAUAUACUUCAUGCAUAAAAAUAGGAUGACAAUGCUGCCAACUGUCAUUUCUGACUCCAUCUAUAGACUCAAUGUGUUCCCAAAGAAUAGCACAGAAAUAUGACCACCAAGCUAUUACCAAACUGGUCUUUAGCAAAAGAGUAAAGGCAAUGCAAUGGAGAAUGGACAGCCUUUUCAACAGAUGGUUCUGGAACAAGUGGACAUCUACACACAAAAAGUCACUGCAGACAUCUUUCACAAGUUAAUGAAAUUAAAUCAGACCUAAAUGUAAAACAAAACUAGUAAACUUCCGAAAGAUAAGAGAAGUGAUCUUGGGUUUGGUGAUAACUUCUCAAAACAACAAAAAAAUUCUCGAAAGAAAAAUAAUGACAAUUGACUUCAUUAAAAUUUUAAAAAAUUGUUCUGGGAAAGACAUACAGAUAAUUAAAUGACAAAAUAUAUGAAGAACUCUUCAAACUCCACGGUCCGAAUUUUUUAAAAGGCAGAGGGGAGACCCAAACAGACUUCUCACCAAAGAAAAACAACUAAAUAAAUAUGUAAAGAGAUGUUCAGCACCAUAUGUCAUUAAGGAAUUACAAAUUAAGUCAGCAAUGAGAUACUUCUACACACUUACAUUACAUAGCUAAAAUCCAAAACAGUGAUAACACCAAAUGUCAGUGGAGAUGUGGAGAUCACAGCACCUUUACAACAGUUUGGCCAUUUCUUACAAAAGUGCAUGUACUCAUGUCAUUCCGCAUGAGUUGAAAUUUCCUGUCCACACAAAAAGACUGCACACAAAUGUUUAUAACAGCUUGAUUAAUAAUUGCCAACACUUGAAAGCAACAGAGGGGUUCUUUGGUAGGUGGAUGGAUAAACUGACUGUGGUGUAGCCAUGCAGUGUAAUAUUAUUAAGUGAUGAAGUGAUCUAUAAGGACACAAAAAAGACUUAGUAUAACUUUUUUUUUUAAUUUUUUUUUUAUUUUUGGUACCAGGGAUUGAACUCGGUAUCUUGCACUUGCAAGGCAGGCAGCAGAACCACUGAGCUAAAUCCCUGGCCCGACUUAGUAUAACUUUAAAUGCAUAUUGGGGAGAGAAAGAAGCCAAUCCUCAAAGGCCACACGUAGUAUAGUCCCAUCUCUCUGACAUUCUGGAAAAGGCAAAAGUACAAAGUAGUAAAAAGAUCUGUGGUUGUUGAGAGUCACAGGGAGGGAAAGAUGGCUGAGUAGGUGGAGCGCUGGGGAAUUUUAGGACAGUGAGACUGCUGUGUGAUGCCCUCACGAUGAGUGCACAACACUGUACCAUUGUAAGGCCCUUAAAAUGUACAGCACUCUGAUGUAAACUACAGUCUAGUUAAUAAUAAUGUGUCUGUAUCGGCUCACCCAUGAUAACAAGUGCACUAUAAUAAUGCAAGGUGUUACUAGAGGAAAUGUAGAGAGUGAGUUCUCUAAAAUGAUAGUUUAUUGAACACAAUUUUUAAUUAAAAGGAGAAAUUUAAAAAUCAAUUCUUUGAGGAAUUUGUUGCAGUGAUAGAAAUGUCUGUAUCUGGACUAGAUUGGUGGUCAUACGUGCGUAUACAUUCAUCAAAACUUAUUUAUACUAAAAAAACUGGUUUAUAUUCUUAGACAUUCCACUGUAAGUUUGGGUUUCCUUCUGUGUAAAUUUUACUUCAACAAUAAAAUCAAUGCUU
ensembl:lncRNA